rfam:Candidate divison MSBL1 archaeon SCGC-AAA259I09 AAA259I09_Contig_9, whole genome shotgun sequence.
GCGGCCGUGGUCCAGCUGGUCCAAGACGCCGGCCCGCCACGCCGGUGACGGGGGUUCGAAUCCCUCCCGGUCGCA